CUCCCUCUCCCCAUCCCUAUGGGCCUCUCUUUCUGUCUCUCUCUAACUCUCUCUCCCUCUCCCUAGUUCAGUACAUAUCGAAUCGACAUGAUAUAGGUCUGUACUAUACCAAAACGUCAUCAACUGGUACACCCCUUGGUACCAAUUUGACAAACCAUGGCAAGAGGGCUACAAGAGCUAUUUAGAUCGGCUCUAUCAUAGAGAUGAGGGAUGUCGAGAUUGUCUCCAGCAUACAGAUGAGGCUUGCCAAGAACAUCUCUAAUGUGGCCUUCUCUCGAACGGGGGUCCUCAAAAUUUCACUUGUGAACAAGAGAG
rnacentral:lncRNA from 1 species